CGGGUGAGUAAUACAUCGGAACGUACCUCGUAGUGGGGGAUAACCCGGCGAAAGCCGGACUAAUACCGCAUAUGCUCUACGGAGGAAAGUGGGGGACCUGCAAGGGCCUCACGCUAUGGGAGCGGCCGAUGUCCGAUUAGCUUGUUGGCGGGGUAAAGGCCCACCAAGGCGACGAUCGGUAGCUGGUCUGAGAGGAUGAUCAGCACACUGGGACUGAGACACGGCCAG
rnacentral:rRNA from 1 species